rnacentral:rRNA from 1 species
UACGUAGGUGACCAGCGUUGUCCGGAUUUACUGGGCGUAAAGAGCGCGCAGGCGGUCGUUCAAGUCGAGUGUGAAAGCCCCCGGCUCAACUGGGGAGGGUCACUCGAUACUGAUCGACUUGAAGGCAGGAGAGGGAAGCGGAAUUCCCGGUGUAGUGGUGAAAUGCGUAGAUAUCGGGAGGAACACCAGUGGCGAAGGCGACUUUCUGGCCUGUUCUUGACGCUGAGGCGCGAAAGCUAGGGGAGCAAACGGG